GAUGAAGAACGUAGUGAAAUGCGAAAAGUAAUGUGAUUUGCAGAAUUCAGUGAAUCAUCGAAUCUUUGAACGCACAUUGCGCCCGCUGGUACUCCGGCGGGCACGCCUGUCCGAGCGUCAUUUCAACCCUCAAGCCCUCCUUCGGGAUGGGCCUGGUGUUGGGGCUCGGCCGCCAUCUCCGGCGGCCGUCCCCUAAAUACAGUGGCGGUCACGUCGCGACUCCUUUGCGUAGUAGAAACACCUCGCUCCGGAUAGCAACGCGGUCCACGCCGUAAAACCCCCAAUUUUCAAUGGUUGACCUCGGAUCAGGUGGGAAUACCCGCUGAACUUAAGCAUAUCAAUAAGCGGAGGA
rnacentral:misc_RNA from 1 species